rnacentral:rRNA from 1 species
UACGUAGGGUGCGAGCGUUAAUCGGAAUUACUGGGCGUAAAGCGUGCGUAGGUGGUCCGCUAAGUCGCGUGUGAAAUCCCCCGGCUCAACCGGGGAAUUGCGCGCGAUACUGGCGGGCUAGAGUUCGGUAGGGGAGACUGGAAUUCCUGGUGUAGCGGUGAAAUGCGCAGAUAUCAGGAGGAACACCGGUGGCGAAGGCGGGUCUCUGGGCCGAUACUGACGCUGAGGAGCGAAAGCGUGGGGAGCGAACAGG